UAGAAUAACUAGAGGCUCUAAAGAGCCUGUGUCGCUCACCUUGGUCUAUGUGAAUAUUAAACAAAGGAAGCAGAUGGAUUCAUGACAAAAUUGUGUUUUGGUGAUGGUGAUGUGUUUGUUCAUCUUACUUUACUAAACAGUCUUGCUGCUUACAAUUAUAUCUAUCUAUAAUGAACUUGGCCCAGUAGUUUCAGUGAAAAAUGUUAAUAAGAAUUUACAAAUUUUAUGAAAAUUGUUAAAAAUUGACUAUAAAGGACAAUAACUCCUUAGGGGGUCAAUUGACCAUUUCGGUAAUGUUG
rnacentral:lncRNA from 1 species